GUUACAUUCUUUACGAAGAAAAUUUUAGAGGACCUGGAAAUAUAAUGUCCCGACAUUCAUAUCUUGUGGCGAUAAUUGAGAACCUGGCGAGUGAAUGGAGGGAAGAGCAAAGGGAAAGUGUGUGCCCCCCUGCCCCAGAUCUCCGAGGACCAAUAGGACUCCGCAAGCUACCAGGCAGAAGUCAAUACCGCUGCAUCGUAUGCAGCACUCCUAAAGAAAAAAGAACUUCCACAACAGUUUGCACACGUUGCGGAAAAGGAUUGCACGCGUUGUGCCUGAUAAAACAUCGCUGCUAGCACAAAGAUAUCAUCUCUUGGAUUUCAAUGGAUUUGCAAUUUUUCCUUAAGCAUGUGUGCUAGCAGAAAAGAUUUGGCCCUCAUAAGAUAUUUCUGCUUUUUCCUCUAUUUAUUUUAUUUUUUGAUAUGAAUGUCGGGAUAGUAUUAUGUAAUAAUAAUUCUAUGGUGACCUUAUAACGAUACAUUGUUCUUUUAAGUAUAUAUUACAAUUGUAAGAUAUUGUACCUUAAUACAACUGGUAAUCUUGUGUGAUAAAAAUUUGAUAUUUGAUUGAUGUGAUGUGACAGAGUGGAUUAGCAGACAGGUUUUCGAAGUAAUAUAUAAGAAAAAUAUUUCUAAAAACUUAAACUUUAUAAGUUUUUAUAAAAUUAAAAUAAAACUUUUUAUAUGAUUUGUAUUUUAAUUACUUAAACAAAUUGGAAAAUUAGAAAUUACUUAAAGCGUCAUGUAAUUUUAAGGUGUUUGGUGUUAGUUUUACCAGCACAAGAGAACAUUUUCGAAAGCUUGUCAGAUAAUAAAUGUAAAAUAAAACCAGAAAA